rnacentral:other from 1 species
UGGCGGCUGGGCUUCGCGCGCGGCAUUUCAAUCCCUGGGACCAUAAUCUUCUGUAGGGGACUGCCUCUGGCCCGAUCGCGGUCUGGCUAUCGUGGUGCCCACCUGUUUUACAGGUCACAGAGGAUGAAAAGAUCCAACGGUUGUUCCGGCUGUCAC